UACGGGGGGGGCAAGCGUUGUUCGGAAUUACUGGGCGUAAAGGGCUCGUAGGCGGCCAACUAAGUCAGACGUGAAAUCCCUCGGCUUAACUGGGGAACUGCAUCUGAUACUGGAUGGCUUGAGAUUGGGAGAGGGAUGCGGAAUUCCAGGUGUAGCGGUGAAAUGCGUAGAUAUCUGGAGGAACACCGGUGGCGAAGGCGGCAUCCUGGACCAACACUGACGCUGAGGAGCGAAAGCCAGGGGAGCAAACGGG
rnacentral:rRNA from 1 species